GACGAACGCUGGCGGCGUGCUUAACACAUGCGAGUCGAGCGGAAAGGCCACUUCGGUGGUACUCGAGCGGCGAACGGGUGAGUAACACGUGAGUAAUCUGCCCCUGGCUUUGCGAUAGCCACCGGAAACGGUGAUUAAUACCGGAUACGACCACUUCUCGCAUGGGAUGGUGGUGGAAAGUUUUUUCGGCCAGGGAUGUGCUCGCGGCCUAUCAGCUUGAUGGUGAGGUAAUGGCUCACCAUGGCUUCGACGGGUAGCCGGCCUGAGAGGGUGACCGGUCACACUGGGACUGAGACACGGCCCAGACUCCUACGGGAGGCAGCAGUGGGGAAUAUUGGACAAUGGGCGGAAGCCUGAUCCAGCAACGCCGCGUGAGGGAUGACGGCCUUCGGGUUGUAAACCUCUUUCAGCAGGGACGAAGCGCAAGUGACGGUACCUGCAGAAAAAGCACCGGCUAACUACGUGCCAGCCGCCGCGGUAA
rnacentral:rRNA from 1 species